UGUAAACAUCCCCGACUGGAAGCUGUAUGUCACAUUCUAGCUUUCAGUCAGAUGUUUGCUGC
rnacentral:pre_miRNA from 1 species